GUCUACGGCCAUACCACGUUGAAAGCACCAGUUCUCGUCCGAUCACUGAAGUUAAGCAACGUCGGGCUCGGUUAGUACUUGGAUGGGUGACCGCCUGGGAACACCGAGUGCUGUAGACUCCC
rnacentral:rRNA from 1 species